rnacentral:rRNA from 1 species
AACCACCAUACAACUCUGAGCGGUGGAUCAC